rnacentral:rRNA from 1 species
UACGGAGGGUGCGAGCGUUGUCCGGAAUCACUGGGCGUAAAGGGCGCGUAGGUGGCUCGUGAAGCGUGCGGUGAAAGUCCGAGGCUCAACCUCGGAUCGGCCGUGCGGACUCGCGGGCUCGAGCGUUGUAGAGGCGGGUGGAAUUCCGGGUGUAGCGGUGGAAUGCGUAGAGAUCCGGAAGAACACCAGUGGCGAAGGCGGCCUUCUGGACCAGUACUGACGCUCAUGCACGAAAGCGUGGGGAGCAAACAGG